UACGUAGGGUGCAAGCGUUGUCCGGAAUUAUUGGGCGUAAAGAGCUCGUAGGCGGUCUGUCACGUCGGCUGUGAAAACCCGAGGCUCAACCUCGGGCCUGCAGUCGAUACGGGUAAACUAGAGUACUGCAGGGGAGACUGGAAUUCCUGGUGUAGCGGUGAAAUGCGCAGAUAUCAGGAGGAACACCGGUGGCGAAGGCGGGUCUCUGGGCAGUAACUGACGCUGAGGAGCGAAAGCCGUGGGGAGCGAACAGG
rnacentral:rRNA from 1 species